AGUUGGGUUGACAGUGGCUGCUGCUGUACUCCUGGCUGGGGUUUUGGGAUUGAUGGUGUUCCUCAGGUGGAGGAGAAGGAAAGGACAGAAGACCAAAGCCGAAACCCCAGCCAGGGACCUCAUUGAAAACACUGAGGAUGUUGAACCUGAAGGACAGUAUGUGGACCCCAAAGAGAACCCCAAGGUAAGCCACUCAGACU